AAGGGAACAUGUACAGGAGCAGAGGAACAGCAUACAAAGCAAAGAAUAUUCGGUUCUGCGCCCUGCUUCAAAGAAGGAUUGACUAAGAGCGGAAGGAUUGGGUUAAGAGACACCCCUCAGAGAGCCAGCUUGUGCAGCAACACCUUAUUCUUCUCAGUGAUGCCGUGCGUGCCACCACUUUCUCCUCUGCAGCACUGGCUUGCACGCACGUUGCUGUGGGAAAGAAGGCAGCAGCUGCCUGGGGCCUUACAAUAACAGAUCAUUGCGAGGUUUGAAGGGGAUGGUCACUUGUAGUGGAUCUACAAAAUCAGAUUUUCCAGUAUGACGAAUUCUCAUUGCCUGCAGAGAGCGUGGACAGUAUUUCUAAGAUGAGCAUCUGCCUCCGAAGUUCAACAUUGGUGUCACCAGAAUGUUUGAAAAUUGUAUCUGUGGCCUUUGUUGCAAUCAACAGUUCAUUUUUAAUCUCUUGGUUUCAAGAAAUCCACAUUACCCUGCAGAUAAUGUAAUCUAAGUAAUAUAUUGAAAGAUCAAAGCAAUUCAAUUUUCUCCAAGACUGCAGCUUUGUUUCUUUGUUACCCUGAUAUAGUUGAAAGGAGAGACAGGGAGCUUGUGAGGAAAUAUCGCUGCCAUCUGGGGAUCGAUUGGAUUUUUCUUUGAGAGGAAAGAUCUGUCUUCUCUUCAACACAAAGCAUUCCCCUUUGUACCUUUUUUAAUUGCUCUGUCUCCCUGUUGAAGAUAUAUUGAUAUUUGCCAUGUGAUAGUUAUUGCCUAGAAAUCAAUCUGGAUCUCUGCUCUCCACAAAGGUAUGAACAAAUCUAAAUGCAUUAGCUCAGACUACAAAAAUCCUACAGUCACUUAUACAAAUGCCAGUCCUCUGGGAACUAUGAAAUGUAUUUCUGAGUAGACAUGUAUAGGACUGCACUUUCCAAUGCAGAGGCACAUCUUGCAACUUUUUGAAGCCCCACAUCUGCUGUUGCUAAGUCUUCCUUUAAAUACAGUAGCAUAUUAUACUCCAGCUAGAUGGGGGAGAAUAGCCCCCAGUUACAGUAUAUCCUCACUGAAGAUUACAGCAAUGGUAAAUAUCAAAAUAUUUGCUUGCUCACCUUUAUUCACUUGAGCUGUAAAAUUAUCAGCUUUCACAAGAAGCUAAUACCAAAAUGGCAAUGCCAGUAGAACAAUACAAAAUGUUUUCCCUUCAGUACCAUAUACCUCAUAUGCGAUUUUGUAUAAAUAAAUAAACCAGAAUUUUACAGGUUAUC